UGGGGAAUAUUGCACAAUGGGCGAAAGCCUGAUGCAGCGACGCCGCGUGAGGGAUGACGGCCUUCGGGUUGUAAACCUCUUUCAGCAGGGAAGAAGCGCAAGUGACGGUACCUGCAGAAGAAGCGCCGG
rnacentral:rRNA from 1 species